AAAGUUCUGAGAUUCUCCCAAACUUGUUUGGACAUAUGUGUAUACAGAUUAAGCUUGUCUUUAAAGAAUAGAGAAGUACAUCCAAGGGAAAUGAAUUAUUCGUCUCUGUCUCUAUGUCUGGAAUAGCACUACCAUCUACCAGGUGCUUGGCAGUGGUUCGUGAAAGCUUCUGCACUGUGAUCCCUGUUUCAGCUGGUGGCAUCAGCCAGUGCCUGACAUUUGGAGCGUUCUUCCCCACCUUCAGAUUGAGAUCUCAGAACAUUUUAUCAGCUCAUCUGUGAAGACCUGGUUGCUGCUCCCUCCCGGCGUAGAACAACCUCCUCUGUGUGAUCGCAUCGGGACUACUUCCCCUACAGCACCUGCCGCAGGCAUCAGCUUUACCUGUACCUGUCUGUGAACCCCUUGAGGGUAGGAACAGUGUCUACGCAUCUUUGUCUCCUCCAUGCCUGGCACAUAGUAGGUGAUCAUGUGUUGGUGUUGGUGAGCUGCCACAACUCACUGGAAGCCCCGUCUGUCUCUACUCCCUUUCCCUGCUCUGCUCUGCCCCUUCAAGGAUAAAGAAACUCCAAGAUCUCUGCCGGCAGACUGGACCAGCCUUGCAUGUGGAUACAGUAGGCAGCUGCCUUCAAGGUGCAACUGAAGAGUCCCUAGAAAGAUCCCUGCCUCCCUGCCUCCCAGUCUCCCAUCCCUCCCACAGUUGCUUCUCUUCUAUGAGUGGAGGUCAGGAUUCCUAUAGGAAUCCACGCUCCGCCUCCAGCUCCCCCUGUAGAAUAAGGAGGUGGGACUCAGGGUCCCUUGUAACCCUGCGAUACUUCCUCUUCUUCUUCCUCAUUCUUCUUCUUUCUUCCUCUAACUCAAAAGAGAUGAAUGACUUAGAAAGAGCCAAUGAAUCAGAAAUAGGGAAAGCAAAAAAAAAAAAAAAAGAGUAAUUUUGCCAAGUUAUUAUUCAAAGGAGCUCUCUGGGACCAGGAGCAGAGCAGCGCCAUCCAUCACGGCGCAGAGCUCUGGGGCUGGGGUGGGGGGAGGUGGCCGCGCUGUCUGUGGACAGCUCUGGGCCCCGUGCGCGAGUGAGCAGCCAGCCCGGGAAAGCUGGGGCCCGCUGCCAG
ensembl:lncRNA